GAUGAACGCUGGCGGCGUGCCUAAUACAUGCAAGUCGAGCGAACAGAUGAGGAGCUUUCUCCUCUGACGUUAGCGGCGGCCGGGUGAGUAACACGUGGAUAACCUACCUAUAAGACUGGGAUAACUUCGGGAAACCGGAGCUAAUACCGGAUAAUAUAUUGAACCGCAUGGUUCAAUAGUGAAAGACAGUUUUGCUGUCCCUUAGAGAUGGGUCCGCGCCGCAUUAGCUAGUUGGUAAGGUAACGGCUUACCAAGGCAACGAUGCGUAGCCGCCCUGAGAGGGUGAUGGGCUGCACUGGAACUGAGACACGGUCCAGACUCCUGCGGGAGGCAGCAGUAGGGAAUCUUCCGCAAUGGGCGGAAGCCUGACGGAGCAACGCCGCGUGAGUGAUGAAGGUCUUCGGAUCGUAAAACUCUGUUAUUAGGGAAGAACAAAUGUGUAAGUAACUAUGCACGUCUUGACGGUACCUAAUCAGAAAGCCACGGCUAACUACGUG
rnacentral:rRNA from 1 species